CUCUGGUGAAAGUUUAAUUGAGAAGCUUAGAUUGUCCUACUGGGUCCUUGACAGUCAAUCAAGACAUCCGCCUUCUCUGUAACGUCACAAAGCUCCUAGGAGUGUCUCCACACAACAACAUCUGUAAGGAACAACUAGAAAAAUGUCCGGCAAAGCGGGUGGAAAAGCAAAACCAUUGAAGAAGCCCAAAGCAGCUGAUAAGGAUCUUGACGAACAUGACAAGGCAUUCCUUCAGAAGAAGAAGGAUGAGGCAGCUGCUUUGAAAGCUCUAAAAGAGAAAGCAGGUGCAAAGGGAGGUUUCGCAAAGGUGAAAGGCACCAAGUAAAUGCCAUCAGGUACGCGAUGAAUGUUUAGCGUGUGCAAUAAGAGGGUACCAAUAAUUGACAGCCCUGUCUGAUGUUUCUUUAUGCACAUCAUCUUUGUGUUUUCGAAGGUAUUAUGACGGUCCCACGCAAUGAUUAUCUUCUAUCGCAGGAACACAGAGUUCUGAGAAUCCCUUCAAGGGAUACAGGCCAUUGUGCCUGUCAGACCAUGAAGGGGUUCUGCUUCUCUGCACUGCUCUGCAGCGCCUGCUGAUGGACUGGACAAGCAGGAAGGCAAGUGUCAUUGGCCAGGGGCCUCAGGAUGCUGUUUGACUAUUAAGAAUGGUCAGCGGAGAGCUUCACAUGCAUCUUGCGUGACACAAGCUUGUUGUUGUCCUGCGCUCACUGUGAGGCCUUGCUGAGAGGGGCUCGGGAAAUUCUGAACUUGCUACCUGCACAGCAAAGUUGUUGGCAUGCUGCAAAAUGAGGACAGAUGAUAACGGCUGAGGGCUUACUCAGCCGGUCCUGUGAGAACCUGGACCCUAGUGUAACGUAGUUGAUUUGCUUCAAUGUGUGCGGGUUGUCAUGAUGGGCCGAUGUGGAGAAGCAUUGUGAGCACUUGACGCAGCUUGUGAACAAGUUAGCCAUGGAGGAUGCCCUCAGUGAUCUGAUGUCACCACUAGAGACCUGUCGAGAGCGGGCAAGAUUUUGGGCACUGACAGUCUCCCCCAAGAGCGUGUCACCUCAAGAGUCUGCUUUGACGCUGCAGACUGAAUACAUUGUGCCUUCUCAUUGCUGUUGUAGCUGACAUUUGUUGCAGC
rnacentral:lncRNA from 1 species